rnacentral:misc_RNA from 1 species
UUAAAAAAAAAAAAAAUUGAGUUAAAACUCAAAUGAAUACAGAAAAUAAUUAAAAAAAUUUACUUACCUUCUUUGGAUGACAUUACAAAAGUAUUUUUGAGGCAUAUAAUCGUUGAGGAACUUGUAAGAUUGUUCCUUCUUUACAUAAAGAAGCUAAGAUGUGAUAUCGAUAUAUACAUUCAAAUAGAAUACAACAAUGGACAAAAUCAAUGCAAGCUCAGACCUCAGACUCCGAAGCACCUGGCACUUUGAAAUAAAUUGCACGCCAACGCCAACCCAUUUAUAUAUUCCUCCUGUUGAGAGCACUGGUUUCAUUAGUUGUUUUAACAAGAAUUCUUUGCUUUUCUUUUCUUUUUCUUCUUCUUUUUUUUUUUUUUUUUUUUCUUUUUCUCUUUUUUUUUAUAUGGGAGAGAGAAAUACACAAUGAGGAUUGUCAAGUGCUAGCAUAGUUUACAAAACACAUAAAAAUGGAGGGACAUUUUGAUACUUUAAACUUGUAUUUUGCAUUUUCUUUUGAUGAUUGUCCCUAAAAUUGCCACCCCCAAACUCAUUUCUUUUAAUACUUUGGGUGGAUUUCUUUCAAUUUGAAUGACAAUAAUGAAAGGCACAUAUAUACUAGCACUUUUACAAAUGAUAAGCAUUUCUUCUCCCUUUUAUUUUUUAUUCUCUCUUUUUUUUAAUAGUGUACCAAAUAUUAUGCGUAAUUAUUCUCAUGAAAAAGGUGGUAGUGUUUGGUUCACUAGCUAGGUAACAAUAAGAGUUCCAAAAAAAAAAACUAGGAAUAUGUAGGCUUAAAGGGGUUUACAACGGUUAAUUGUAAUGAAAAGAACGUUAAAAGUUUAAAAUGAGAUGGUUGUAAUAAAAAAAAAUGUCUAAUUAUUUCUCUUUCUAAGUAUAAGUUGGUAUUUCACCUUGAAAGGUUUAGAAAAUCUGUCACAGGAUUUGUGAGAUAUCAUUUGACUACUUUUUAUCCUAUAGCUCUCUUUAAACAUUCUAAUAUCUAAAUGACUAGUUUGGUGGUUUUUUGGCUAAGAAGAUAAAGGCAAAUGAUAAACACUUCAAAACUUUGCACCUCUUAGAAAACUUUUAAUCCAUAAACCCAACCAAAGGUAGGCUAAAUCACUCUACUAAGUAGCUCUCAUUACUCAAGGGACUUGGCAAAAAUUUAAUUUCAUGAAUGCAUGAUUCCUAAAAAUGAGCA